rnacentral:tRNA from 1 species
GAGGGUAUAGCUCAGUGGUAGAGGACGUGCCUAGCAUGCACAAGGUCCUGGGUUCAAGCCCCAGUACCUCCA